UACGUAGGGUGCGAGCGUUGUCCGGAAUUACUGGGCGUAAAGAGCUCGUAGGUGGUUUGUCGCGUUGUCCGUGAAAACUCACAGCUUAACUGUGGGCGUGCGGGCGAUACGGGCAGACUGGAGUACUGCAGGGGAGACUGGAAUUCCUGGUGUAGCGGUGGAAUGCGCAGAUAUCAGGAGGAACACCGGUGGCGAAGGCGGGUCUCUGGGCAGUAACUGACGCUGAGGAGCGAAAGCGUGGGGAGCGAACAGGAUUAGACUACCGUUGUAAGUC
rnacentral:rRNA from 1 species